CCUACGGGAGGCAGCAGUGGGGGAUAUUGCACAAUGGGGGGAACCCUGAUGCAGCGACGCCGCGUGGGUGAAGAAGCGCCUCGGCGCGUAAAGCCCUGUCAGCAGGGAAGAAAAUGACGGUACCUGAAGAAGAAGCCCCGGCUAACUACGUGCCAGCAGCCGCGGUAAUACGUAGGGGGCAAGCGUUAUCCGGAUUUACUGGGUGGAAAGGGGGCGCAGACGGCGAUGCAAGCCAGGAGUGAAAGCCCGGGGCCCAACCCCGGGACUGCUCUUGGAACUGCGUGGCUGGAGUGCAGGAGGGGCAGGCGGAAUUCCUGGUGUAGCGGUGAAAUGCGUAGAUAUCAGGAGGAACACCGGUGGCGAAGGCGGCCUGCUGGACUGCAACUGACGUUGAGGCCCGAAAGCGUGGGGAGCAAACAGGAGUAGAUACCCUAGUAGUC
rnacentral:rRNA from 1 species